AGAGUUUGAUCCUGGCUCAGGACGAACGCUGGCGGCGUGCCUAAUACAUGCAAGUAGAACGCUGAAGACUUUAGCUUGCUAAAGUUGGAAGAGUUGCGAACGGGUGAGUAACGCGUAGGUAACCUGCCUACUAGCGGGGGAUAACUAUUGGAAACGAUAGCUAAUACCGCAUAACAGCAUUUAACACAUGUUAGAUGCUUGAAAGGAGCAAUUGCUUCACUAGUAGAUGGACCGCGUUGUAUUAGCUAGUUGGUGAGGUAACGGCUCACCAAGGCGACGAUACAUAGCCGACCUGAGAGGGUGAUCGGCCACACUGGGACUGAGACACGGCCCAGACUCUACGGGAGGCAGCAGUAGGGAAUCUUCGGCAAUGGGGGCAACCCUGACCGAGCAACGCCGCGUGAGUGAAGAAGGUUUUCGGAUCGUAAAGCUCUGUUGUAAGAGAAGAACGUGUGUGAGAGUGGAAAGUUCACACAGUGACGGUAACUUACCAGAAAGGGACGGCUAAUACGUGCCAGCAGCCGCGGUAAU
rnacentral:rRNA from 1 species